AUGGCAGAGGAGAUUGCUGCUCUUGAACGCACUGGUACAUGGGAUCUUGUUUCUCUUCCUCCAGGUGUCCGUCCCAUCACUUGUAAGUGGGUCUACAAGGUUAAGACUCGCUCCGAUGGUUCUCUUGAGCGUUACAAAGCUCGUCUUGUGGCUCGUGGCUUUCAGCAGGAGCAUGGUCGUGAUUACGAUGAGACCUUUGCUCCCGUGGCCCAUAUGACCACUAUUCGUACACUUCUUGUCGUGGCCUCUGCACGCCAUUGGUCUGUAUCUCAGCUUGAUGUUAAGAAUGCCCUUCUUAACGGUGAGCUGUGUGAGGAGGUAUACAUGCAGCCACCACCUGGGUAUUCUGUUCCUGAUGGCAUGGUAUGUCGUCUUCGUCGCUCUGUCUAUGGCCUUAAGCAAGCCCCCCGCGCCUGGUUUGAGCGUUUUGCCUCUGUGGUGACUGCCGCUGGUUUUUUAGCGAGUGCUCAUGAUCCGACAUUGUUUGUCCACCUUUCUCCUCGUGGUCGGACUCUUCUUCUUCUCUAUGUUGAUGACAUGAUCAUAACUGGCGACAACCCCGAGUAUAUUGCCUUUGUAAAGGCCCGUCUUAGUGAGCAGUUUCUUAUGUCCGAUCUUGGACCUCUUCGCUACUUUCUUGGGAUUGAAGUCUCUUCUACCUUUGAUGGCUUUUUUAUAUCUUAG
rnacentral:rRNA from 1 species